rnacentral:rRNA from 1 species
UUUAUGGAGAGUUUGAUCCUGGCUCAGGAUGAACGCUGGCGGCGUGCCUAAUACAUGCAAGUCGAGCGAACGGACGAGAAGCUUGCUUCUCUGAUGUUAGCGGCGGACGGGUGAGUAACACGUGGAUAACCUACCUAUAAGACUGGGAUAACUUCGGGAAACCGGAGCUAAUACCGGAUAAUAUUUUGAACCGCAUGGUUCAAAAGUGAAAGACGGUCUUGCUGUCACUUAUAGAUGGAUCCGCGCUGCAUUAGCUAGUUGGUAAGGUAACGGCUUACCAAGGCAACGAUGCAUAGCCGACCUGAGAGGGUGAUCGGCCACACUGGAACUGAGACACGGUCCAGACUCCUACGGGAGGCAGCAGUAGGGAAUCUUCCGCAAUGGGCGAAAGCCUGACGGAGCAACGCCGCGUGAGUGAUGAAGGUCUUCGGAUCGUAAAACUCUGUUAUUAGGGAAGAACAUAUGUGUAAGUAACUGUGCACAUCUUGACGGUACCUAAUCAGAAAGCCACGGCUAACUACGUGCCAGCAGCCGCGGUAAUACGUAGGUGGCAAGCGUUAUCCGGAAUUAUUGGGCGUAAAGCGCGCGUAGGCGGUUUUUUAAGUCUGAUGUGAAAGCCCACGGCUCAACCGUGGAGGGUCAUUGGAAACUGGAAAACUUGAGUGCAGAAGAGGAAAGUGGAAUUCCAUGUGUAGCGGUGAAAUGCGCAGAGAUAUGGAGGAACACCAGUGGCGAAGGCGACUU